rnacentral:lncRNA from 1 species
AUAUAUUGCCUCAUAAAAGACCUGGAAAUCCUUCAAAUCUGCAAGUCGUGGUGGCCUCUGAAAGGUUGCAUGUUCCUCUUUCCUUUGAUGUCGUGUUCCCGUCCAACGUUGGCUACAUAUAUCGCCUUUUAAAAGACCUGGCAAGCCUUCAAAUCUUCAAGUCUUGGUGGCAUCUGAAAGGUCGCAAGUUUGUCUUUCCAUUAAUGUCGUGUUCCCGUCCAACGUUGGCUACAUAUAUCGCCUCAUAACAGAUGUGGAAAUCCUUCAAAUCUGCAAGACCUGGUAGCAUCUGAAAGGUCUUGUUCCUGUCCAACGUUGGCUACAUAUAUCGCCUCAUAACAGAUCUGGAAAUCCUCCAAAUCUGCAAGACCUGGUGGCAUAUCAAAGGUGGCAUGUUCCUCUUUCCUUUGAUGAGGAGUACUAUCACCUCUUGGCUGAGAAGAUCUACAAGAUCCAGAAGGAGAUCCAGAAGGAGCUGUAGGAGAAGCAACAGAAGAGGAUGCAGGAUUCAGGAGGUAUUGAUGCUGCCGCUGGAGGCAUUCCCAUGACGGCAGCAGCGCUGCUGCCUCAGCCUCCCCACUAACUGCCCAGAUCAGUAUGUCCACUGGGAAAAUGUAGCUCUUUCAACCAACUUAUAUCAGAACUAUGCUGUACAAAACUAUAUGGUCUUGAAGGGUUAUUUUGGUGUCAGUGUUGCUUUGGCUCAGCAAUGGAAAGUGGACUGGUAGAAUGGGGCGUCAGGUUGGUUGUACGAUGUAAACAACAAAUAAAAGUGUAAUGCAAAUGUGAAUUUUAGGUUUUGAAACACAUUCCAUAUCUCAGUAUGUGGAAUGAAGAUGUCGAUUGUACCCAUAGUCAGUAAAUGUAACUAACUCAAGCUUUAAAUUGUAUAUCUAAUAUGAGCUUCACUCAUUAGGUGCUUCUGGAAAAUUUGUAUCUCUUUUUUUCCGCACACGGCUGUUCUUGCUUAUUGUCUUGAUCAGGACUUGAACAAAGCUUUUGCCACAAAUAAAUUAGAUUGCUAAUUUGAUAGACAAACUAACAGAUAUUUACAUGUAUGUACAUAGGGUCUGCUGCUUG